GACGAACGCUGGCGGCGCGCUUAACACAUGCAAGUCGAGCGAGAUCCAGGCCUUCGGGCCUGGGGACAGCGGCGAACGGGUGAGUAACACGUGGGUAAUCAACCCUCGACACUGGGAUAGCCCGGGGAAACCCGGAUUAAUACCGGAUGGCCCUUUGGAUCUUCGGAUCUGACGGGAAAGGUAGCUUCGGCCUCCGGUCGAAGACGAGCCCGCGGCGGAUUAGCUUGUUGGUGAGGUAACGGCUCACCAAGGCGACGAUCCGUAGCUGGUCUGAGAGGACGAUCAGCCACACUGGGACUGAGACGCGGCCCAGACUCCUACGGGAGGCAGCAGUGGGGAAUCUUGCGCUGAUGCGGGAAACCGUGACGCAGCGACGCCGCGUGAGGGAAGAAGGCCUUCGGGUUGUAAACCUCUUUCAGGAGGGACGAAGCCACUCGGGUGAAUAGCCCAGAGGGUGACGGUACCUCCAGAAGAAGCCCCGGCUAACUACGUGCCAGCCGCCGCCGUAA
rnacentral:rRNA from 1 species